GAGCGUUGUCCGGAUUUAUUGGGCGUAAAGAGCUCGUAGGCGGUUCAACAAGUCGGUCGUAAAAGUUCAGGGCUCAACCCUGAAAUGUCGAUCGAUACUGUUGUGACUAGGAUACGGUAGAGGUGAGUGGAAUUCCGAGUGUAGCGGUGAAAUGCGUAGAUAUUCGGAGGAACACCAAUUGCGAAGGCAGCUCACUGGACCGCUAUCGACGCUGAGGAGCGAAAGCUAGGGGAGCAAACAGGAUUAGAUACCCCGGUAGUCCAUGCAGUAAACGAUGGGUGCUAGUCGUCGGACUUUUGUUCGGUGUCGUAGCUAACGCGUUAAGCACCCCGCCUGGGGAGUACGGUCGCAAGAUUAAAACUCAAAUAAAUUGACGGGGACCCGCACAAGCAGUGGAGCAUGUGGUUUAAUUCGACGCAACGCGAAGAACCUUACCAGCGUUUGACAUGGAGAGUACCGGUUACAGAAUGGUAACCUUCAGUUCGGCUGGCUUUCGCACAGGUGCUGCAUGGCU
rnacentral:rRNA from 1 species